CAGGAGUUCAAGACCAUUCUGGGCAACAACAGUGAGACCCCAUCUCUACACAAAAUGUAAAAAUUAGCCAGCAUGCUGGUGCAUGCCUGUGGUCCCAGCUACUUGGGAGGCUGAGGUAGGUAGGAGCAUCACUUGAGCCCAGAAGGUCAAGGCUACAGUAAGCUGUUAUCAUACCACUGUACUCCAUCCAUCAUGGGCAACACAGCAAGACCCUGUCUCAACAACAACAACAAAAGCCAUUUGGUGUUGUUAUGCUCCUUUACAUUCUAUACUCUGGAAUCUCUUGUACCUAGUCCUAAGAGAUGAUAUUUCCAUACACUAACCAGCUUCCCUAAACUCCUUUUUCCUUGAACUUCACUGCAAUCAAAUUCUUUCUAUUUGUGCUGUGAACCUGGAAAAAUGCAACUGCUUUCUUUAACUUUCUCCUGUCUCUCCUCUGUUCCCUUAAGAUUUGGAAUUCAAUCUUGUGAUUGCUUCCAUCCAAGAUACUCAUCUGUCUUUAGAUACCCCACUGUUGACCAGAUACAAAACACAAAGGGCAUCUGUCCUCCUUGAUUUUUAUUGUUUUGUGCACUAGGGGAUGCCCCAGGGGAUGCAGCUCAGAACCCUGUUUGAUGAUCUGCAGCCUGAUGUGUUGUCCUUUGGCAGCCAACUGGGUCAAGUUUCCCAAUAGCAAUCUUCAAGGCUUUAGCCCAUCAAGACAAGAUCAGAGGAGCAUUCAUCUUGCUGCUCUGCCUGUGACUGGCUGUGAUCUGAGAAGAUGAAGAAUAGAUGGAAGAUGAAGGGAGCACCAGGGCAAAGCAAACCAGCUGCCAGAGGAAGAUGUGUCACUGCACAGUGUGUAAAAACAGACACUAG
rnacentral:lncRNA from 10 species